CAGGAUGACACAUGUCAAUAUUCUGCCUGUAGCAGUGGAAACCAAAGUGCCAGAGAUGGUUCCUCGGACCGCGGUUACUCUGUGGACGCAGCUUCAUUUCAAUGUGCUGCUCAAGAACGCGCUCAGAGCAGCAGCAGUAGCAUAGGAGUGUCUGCCAGUUGUGACUUGGAUGUUGCGGACCAUUUGUGUGCGAGUGCUGCUAGCCUUAGUGAGAACACCUCUGAAAGUGAAACGAUAGAUUAUGAAGACAUAGAUGACACCUGUGCAAAUGAUGAUGCCAAUGGAAGUGAAAGUGAUAAACAAGGUGCUCCUAAUGACUUCACCAAGCUCUGGGAGGAAACACUUCCACACCAGAAGACAACGAAAGCGCAAGCUCUGCUUCUAGUUAUGGCGUAUAUUGUGACGGCAGGAUUGACGUGGGCGCUGGCGAGAUGCUUGCUUAUCCUGCUGAACAACCUGUUCGGUUCAGUGAAGCACCUCCACUGCGGUCACCUACCGCCUGACCGAAGCCAUGGCCGUGUGAUGGAAGCAAUGAGGAAGUCUCAGGAACAAGAGGUGGCAGUUGAAAGAUUCAAGGGGCCAUCACCAUUGGUGAGGCUUCGAAGCCUUGACCUUGUCUGGGGACUGCCUACAGACUGUAUGCAUUGUGUUCUGGAAGUUGUAACAAGGCAGCUUAUGGAGUUAUGGCUCUCAGUCACUAACUCGGUAUUCUACCUGGGACGGCGCAUAAGACUUUUAGAUGCCAGGCUGCGUGCCUUAAUACCACCGAUUACCUUUUAUCGAGCAGGGAGACCACUGUCAGAGCGCGCAUACUGGAAAGCCACCAAGUGGCGUAACUGGUUGCUGUUUUACAGUGUUUCAUUUUUGUUGGACUUCUUUCCACAGAAAUAUAUGUCCCACUUCACCCUCCUUG